rnacentral:rRNA from 1 species
AAUCAACGCUGGCGGCGUGCCUCAGACAUGCAAGUCGAACGAUUAAAGCUCUCUUCGGAGAGUGUAUAGAGUGGCGCACGGGUGAGUAACACGUAAGUAAUCUACCCUCGAGUGGGGAAUAACAACCGGAAACGGUUGCUAAUACCGCAUAAUGCAGCGGCACCGCAAGGUGACAGUUGUUAAAGAUUUAUCGCUUGAGGAGGAGCUUGCGGCAGAUUAGCUAGUUGGUAGGGUAACGGCUUACCAAGGCUACGAUCUGUAACCGGUCUAAGAGGACGGUCGGUCACACUGACACUGAAUAACGGGUCAGACUCCUACGGGAGGCAGCAGUCGGGAAUUUUGGGCAAUGGGCGAAAGCCUGACCCAGCAACGCCGCGUGAAGGAUGAAGUAUUUCGGUGUGUAAACUUCGAAAGAAUAGGAAGAAUUAAUGACGGUACUAUUUAUAAGGUCCGGCUAACUACGUG